rnacentral:rRNA from 1 species
CUUUGGUAUGUAGGUGGUCAACAAUUUUAAUUGCAGGGGCUUCGGCCCCUUACUUGAGGAUAAAUUAUGUCUAAUAUUCAAACUGGCGCCGAGCGUAUGCCGCAUGACCUUUCCCAUCUUGGCUUCCUUGCUGGUCAGAUUGGUCGUCUUAUUACCAUUUCAACUACUCCGGUUAUCGCUGGCGACUCCUUCGAGAUGGACGCCGUUGGCGAUAA